rnacentral:lncRNA from 1 species
CACACCAUAAAUUGCCACUGCUGCCACCACCACCAAAUCAAAACCAUCACCAUCAUCAUCAAAUCCAGCUUUUCUAUUGUGGAAAAUUACAGCAAUUCCCGCGACGACCUAAUCUAAGAAAAAACAUCGGCCAUCAAUCCGUCAGAAUUUCUUCCCUAGCAGACGGGCUCAAUCCACAUACACAUCCCACACAAAAAGAUCAAGAUGGAAUUGAAAAGCCAAAUGAGUCACACGCAUGGUCACGCCUCACUGUCGGUAGUCUUGCC